rnacentral:rRNA from 1 species
UACGUAGGGUGCAAGCGUUAAUCGGAAUUACUGGGCGUAAAGCGUGCGCAGGCGGUUAUGUAAGACAGGUGUGAAAUCCCCGGGCUUAACCUGGGAAUGGCAUUUGUGACUGCAUGGCUAGAGUUUGGCAGAGGGGGGUAGAAUUCCACGUGUAGCAGUGAAAUGCGUAGAUAUGUGGAGGAAUACCGAUGGCGAAGGCAGCCCCCUGGGUCAAGACUGACGCUCAUGCACGAAAGCGUGGGGAGCAAACAGG